AUUCAUCCAUAAUAUAUUAUAUUAAAUUAUUUCUAUAUAAUAAAAAUUAAUUUAAAUUAAAAAAAUAGUGGUUUACUCAGUUUUUAUUAUUUUUAUAUAUAAAUGAUUUUUACCAACCCUAUUACCCUGGAUUCAUAGUGAAGAGCGAUUGCGAUUUAACCGCGAUAUCGCAGCGAUUCUCAUAGUGCAAAGCGAUUUUAUUAAUUUAAAAUGGUAUCCAUCGUUAAAUUAUAUUUUUAUACAAAAUGAUAUUGAAGAGGAGAAGAUUAAACAAUCUUAAUAUUAAUAAAAGAAAAGAGGGCGAAUUUAACACCACCUUUCCUAAAAAAUAAGGCGAAAUUUAAUUAUAUGAGAAUGACCAAAGAAACUUUUUAUUACAUAUUAAAGAUAUAAAAUCAGUAUUAUAUUCUACAACCACAAAGAAGAACUUAUGUUUGUCUUUAAUAAACUACUGGCUGUAGGUAUCCUACAUUACCCAUACCUUCAAAAUGGGGAUUUCAACAAUCCAAAAAAUUAUUAGGACCAUAUGCCUAACUAUAUGGCAAACUUUAGUAAGCAUUAAUAUGCCACUACCUUCUUUCACUGACUUUGAGAAGAUAGCAAAGGAGUUUGAAAUAAAGUGGAAUUUACCAAACUGUGUGGGUAAUAUUGAUGGAAAACACUGCCGAAUUAAAAAGCUCCCAAACAUUUUUUCUAGUUGUUUUACAAGGUAUCCUUACACCACAACAAGAGGCCUAUAAUUAUCGGAUAUUGCGUGGAAUGUGCGUUUGAUAUCUUAAGAGCUAAAUGGAUGAUCUUUCGUCCUAUGGAUACUAAAUUACCACUUACUGAAAAUAUCAUACAAACUUGCACAUAACUAGAUAACAUUAUUAUUGAUAAGGAAAGAUUUACUAUUUUUAAUCCUAAAAAAAAUCAACAUUGUAAAUUUAUUUAAGCAACAAUAUAUUAAAUCAUCGUCAAA